UUAUGUGGGGUAAAUGUCUAUGGGUGAGUUUUGGGAUAGACAUGAAAAAUAAAUUAUAAAGCAGGGAUAUUUUUGACAUUAGCAAGUAAUUGACUUAAUUCAGAUUUCUCCAUUAAGUAAAAAGCCAAAAAAAUUGGCUUAUUUUAUUAAGUCAAAAUUAUCUAAAAAGUCUCAUUAAGUUAUAAAAACAAACACCUCUAAUUAACUUAAAUAAUUAAGUUAAGUCACUUUAAGUCAUUAAGUUAAAAAACAAACGCCACCUUAG
rnacentral:lncRNA from 1 species